rnacentral:rRNA from 1 species
AUUGAACGCUGGCGGCAGGCCUAACACAUGCAAGUCGAGCGAGCGGCGGACGGGUGAGUAAUGUAUGUGGGCUGUCCGUUAGGGGGGGCUAACUACAGGAAACGCUAGUUAAUACCGCAUCCUAUCGGAUUACGCAUAUGGGAUUAGCUAGUGGGUGAGGUAAUGGCGAACCAAGGCGACGAUCCCUAGCUGGUCUGAGAGGAUGAUCAGCCACACUGGGACUGAGACACGGCCCAGACUCCUACGGAGGCAGCAGUGGGGAAUAUUGCACAAUGGGCGCAAGCCUGAUACAGCCAUGCCGCGUGUAUGAAGAAGGCCCUAGGGUUGUAAAGUACUUUCAGUCGGGAGGCGUUACCGACAGAAGAAGCACCGGCUAACUCCGUGCCAGCAGCCGCGGUAAUUC